UGGGUAGUAGCUCAAUGGUAGAGCACCUGACUGUUAAUCAGGUGGUUCUGGGUUCGAGUCCCAGCUUCCCAGCCA
rnacentral:tRNA from 1 species